UGAGGCCAGUCAGAGGUGCAGCAGAAAAUGGAUGAGCCUCCACAAGAGGCUCCAGAUGGAUCCUUGAACGGUGAAAACCCAGGCCAGUCCCCAAAUAACCAGGACACCUACACAGAAGGAGGAGCAGGCCAGGCUCCUCAAAGAGGUUCUGAUGAUGCUGGUGUUGGACCAUCCGAGCAAACUGGUGACAAGGCAUCCAACCAAGAUGCUAGUGCAGGAUCCGGACAGACUGACCAAAGAACUUCAGAAGAGGCUUCUCAGCCGACUGACCACAGGUCCCCUGGUCACACUGACAGGAGACCAUCUCAGCAGGUUGACCGUAGAUCAUCUGGCCAGGCUGAGAGAAGAACUUCUAAGCCAACUAGUCAGCAACUGCCCAGCCUACACGAGAGGAAAGUCUCCGAGAAGAUAGAAGACCGAGCGUCUUUGCCAUCUGGUGGGAAAACUUCUGAGCAGGCUGAUCAAGGAACUUGGGAGUAUGGUGAGCACACCUCAUCAGACCAAGCUGACUAUAGAACAUCAGGAAAGAGUCAACGCCAGUUCUACAACCAAGCUGAUGUGGCUGAAGAUGCCACUGAUCAACGUAAGUUUAGUGAAGGUUCAGAAAGGAACUAUGACAGUACUAGCCAUGAAACAGAAAAACCAGCUGACUACCGAUCAUACUACAAAACAAUUGCCCAGGCUGAGAACCGGUCAUUAUCUGAUAUCGAUGACACCAAAGAGGUCAAAGAAGCUGACUUCAAAAUACAGCCUUGCACAUUUGAAGAUAGCCAAACGGACCUCAAAUCCAAGGUUUCAACUGCCGGGGAAACAGAAAGUACAACCACUAUCCAAGCUUACAACCUACACGAUACCGAAUUCACCAGUGACUCCCAGUCCUCGUACGAAAAACUGCCCUCCAUCACAACCAAAACGUACUAUUCCUCCAGCCAAGACAAAUUUCAAAGCACAGAAAUCACUACUGAUAUUCAAACCGAAAUUGAGCAAAGAAAGGGUUCUCAGAGAACCAGUCAAACUUACACGAGGCGGUUCCCUCCAAUCAUUUUUGAAGACCCUUAUCAAGUUGCACUCCGCUACAUGGAAAAGCACAACAUUCUCCAGAUAUUCCAGCAUAUCACUGAAAACCUCGUCUAUGAAAAGCCGGAUGAUCCCCUGUAUUUCAUGCUCGACCAGGUACAGGAGAUGAUCAGAUACAGAGAGCAGCGGCGAAGCAUCUGAAGACAAGCCUCUCGCCAGCCUCGUGUCCUCUGUCAUCGGUGGCCGCGCUGCGCUCCACUCUCACUCGACCAAAUGUGUUUUCAGUAGGCAUUGGUGGUCACUCUGCCUAAAUGUGUUCUCGAUUUUUAGAUAAAGAUACUGCCUGCUGGUGUCAGCCUGGAAGAUGAGCUGAAAGCUGAUUGACAAGCGGGAACCUAUGGAACAAACUAGAGUGAUGUAAACUAAUUGGGUGGUCGAACAAAAUAACCUAAGGACUGAGAGGCCAUUCCUAUUAUUAGUGACAGAAAUAUGGAGUAUUAGCCAUGGUGUAUUAGCAUUGAAUCCAUGCCAGGUUGGUGCUGCAUACUUUUAAUUCUAGCAUUUAAAAACCAAAGAAGGACAAUCUGAAGUCCAAGACCAGCCUGGGCUAUGUAACAAGAUGAUCUCAAAUAUAAAAGGAAACAAAAAGGGACUGAUGAAAUGGCUCAGUGCAUAACAGCACUUUCCUCAAAAGCGGACAACCUGAGGUCGACCCCUGAAUCCCACAGUCAAAUGAAGGAACUGACUCUGGGGGGAAACAAGUUGUCCUCUGACCUCUACACUGUCAUUGCGGUGCACAUGUCCCACCAUGUCUUCCCCCAACACCACCAUGCCUU